UGGGGAAUAUUGGACAAUGGGCGAAAGCCUGAUCCAGCCAUGCCGCGUGUGUGAAGAAGGCCUUUUGGUUGUAAAGCACUUUAAGCGAGGAGGAGGCUACUUAGAUUAAUACUCUAGGAUAGUGGACGUUACUCGCAGAAUAAGCACCGGCUAACUCUGUGCCAGCAGCCGCGGUAAUACAGAGGGUGCGAGCGUUAAUCGGAUUUACUGGGCGUAAAGCGUGCGUAGGCGGCUUUUUAAGUCGGAUGUGAAAUCCCUGAGCUUAACUUAGGAAUUGCAUACGAUACUGGGAAGCUAGAGUAUGGGAGAGGAUGGUAGAAUUCCAGGUGUAGCGGUGAAAUGCGUAGAGAUCUGGAGAAAUACCGAUGGCGAAGGCAGCCAACUGGCAUAAUACUGACGCUGAGGUACGAAAGCAUGGGGAGCAAACAGG
rnacentral:rRNA from 1 species